AGCUGCCGUGUAUAUAUGCUUUCUCCCUUACCUUUUUCGAUCCGGCGACAAAACAUCCAUCAACGUGGUGCUCUGCUAGGUGUUGUUCAUCAUACUGGCUUAUGCUCAAUUGAUUCGGGCCGAUCUUGGAGACUGGAUGUCACAUUUUUUUGUUUCGGGAAUUCUCAGCUCAUAUCUCCAAUGGCUUCUAGAGCGGGACCAUCGCGUGAUUCCACAGCCGGCUACAGCUGUCUCUCAGCGAAGAGAAUACAAAUGCCCUUAUAGGUAAUCUGGUUACCAAAGAUAAUGCUUACCAGUUAUUCAUGUACAUAAUAAUCAACUGAAAUUGAUUCCUUCUGUAUUACCCUUCUGGCUAAUCAGCUACAUAUCAUGGUCGUUCACAUCUAAGGGCACCUUAUUAUAGAAUGGAAUGCCUAUUGCUUUGGUUUCUUUAUAUGCUAACCAUCAACUCUACUUGUGUGUUGUUUAAUUGGGAGUUGAGCACGGUACUGGAGAAUAUACAAAGGAGAGAUUUGAUUCCUCAGGUCACAACCAGCACCUCUACCCCUUAUAAUUUUGUUUUCUAAAAAUACUGCUCAACUUCUAUUAUUCUGCUUACAUAUGAUGUAGCCUUUCAAGAUAUGUUUCAUUUGGUCAAUUGGCUUUGCCAACUAUUGGUGAUUAUAGGUCAUGUUUUGUGUAUGAGCCUAAUGCCAACCCUGUAGGAUUUGUUCUUUAAAUGAUGGUUAGCUUUGGCGCCAGAGGGUUCCCAGUGUGAUGCUAAGUAUUACGAAAACAAAAUGCCCAGUUGCAGUAACCAUUGGAAACACGUGUAUCGGCAAGACCGAGGACGAACGAUAAUAAAGGCAAUGACGACAAUUAGGUAAAUAUUUAUGUUGUCUAAUAAUUGAAAACACCUUGAGUAUACUUACAAAAUCAUCCCACCUUUAUGUUUUUGUGCAACACCAUUUAUCUUAUUGUUUGUCAUGUGGAUCAUAAAAAAAUUCAAGGGAUUGAUGUCGCCAGGUGUGUAUAAGGGAUUCUUUUUCUCCCGUUGCAACGCACAAACAUGUUUGCUAGUACCUAAUAAUAAAUGGUCUAUUGCUUCUGGUGGUACGUCAUCAAAAUUGCCCCAAAAUUGCAAAAUAUUACCCACCGAUGCUACCUAUAAGUGAUAAAAAAUAUUUCACACAGGGGAAUCCUCGCCUGGGCCGGCCCAUGCAGAUAUUUUUCACGAGUUUGAAAAAUGUUCAUGGUUUUCAAAACUUGUUCAUGAUUUCACAAAAAUGUGAGUGAUAGUGUGUCUCGGUGAUGCAUCAAAAUGUGGUCAUAACCAUUGGAAAUUAUGAAUUUAUUUUGUUGUUGCAACACACGGGCCAUUUUGCUAGUAACUUUCUAAUAUAGGAAUCGCUUACGGGCGAUAGUAACAGCCGGCCGGCCCACUUUCAUGUGCCCCUAGGUUUGCUAUGUUCUAGCUCGAUCGAGUAGAGUUUGCUCACUCCGUUUCUUUUCUCCUUUUUCGUUCUUCUUUUUUCUAUACAGGUUGCAUUUUUUGUCUAUAUAUUUGUUUUUCAAACUUAUACCCGUUUAACAGUUUUCUAAUACGUAUGUAAUUAUUAUUUUACAAAAAGAUGUUUUCAAUUUACUUUUCUCACAUACGUGUUUUCAAAUAAAUGUGAAUUUUUUUCUUAUCUUCUUGUGCUUUGGUAACAUUUUUAGUACAUUCCACAUAUUGUU